UGUUCCUUGGAAAGCUGAACAACAUGAGUGAAAACUCUAU
ensembl:snoRNA SNORD116 Small nucleolar RNA SNORD116